rnacentral:misc_RNA from 1 species
UUGUGGAGGAGGACGCCGAAGGUGGGGCUAACGACUGGGGUGAAGUCGUAACAAGGUAGCCGUACCGGAAGGUGCGGCUGGAUCACCUCCUAACAGGGAGACAACAAAAUGUUUAAUAUUAUUAUUUUGUCACCUUAGGUCGAUCGGUAUCUCACAUCCUUAAAUUAAUUAAGGAUUUUAUUUCCUAAGUUUUUCUAGGUCACACCCAUUAUUUUUCCUGGGCCAUUAGCUCAGGUGGUUAGAGCGCACCCCUGAUAAGGGUGAGGUCCCUGGUUCAAGUCCAGGAUGGCCCAUAUCUCUAUGUUGGGGGUAUAGCUCAGUUGGUAGAGCGCCUGCUUUGCAAGCAGGAUGUCAGCGGUUCGAGUCCGCUUACCUCCACUGAUUACCACCUCUUCCAUAAUUUUAAGGAAAUGUUUUGAGUUGUGAUCAAAUUCUGAGCGAAUCUAGCUUCCUAAUGAAAUCAUUAAGAUGCUGGACUCAUUGAAUUAAAUUCAUUGUUUUCAGAGAACCUUGACAACUGCAUAGAUUAUUUUUAAAGACAAUAAGCAUCUUUAAUGAUGCAGAUUUAUUAUUUGUGCGAAUGCAUUAAUAACAAUUCUAUUAAGCUGAUGCUUCAAUUUUUGAAGUUAUUGGUCAAGCUACAA